rnacentral:lncRNA from 1 species
AUGGAGCUUGCUGGGCUCUGGGAUCUGCAUGUACAUGUAGGAGGUGAGCCACAGAGGGGAAGCAAAACGAUCCUUCUACUGCUAUGGGCCUGGCAGUUGAAGAUCAGCAACCCAUUACCCCAGCUCCCCUUUGGCCCUGGAGCAGCCCAGGCUCCUUGGAGGGGAUGUCAUCCACUCCUGGCCACUGGGCCUGGACCUACCCAAGCCACUCCUGAGACUGAGAGGCUUUCAGGCCUGCCUUCAGCUCCCCCUGUAAAGCCCAGAAGAUUUAGCAUCUAGAUGGGACAAUUCUACCAGGAUGGAACCACAUCCAUCCAAGGCUGGUCUCAGGCCUCCAUCUGAUUCCACUGAAGGAAGUUGCCACCCAUGUAUGUGCACAUAAUUCCUGAAGACAAGAGUUACAGUGUGAAGGAAUUGAAUGAGAUUCUAUUGGAAAAACCCUGUCAUGUUUUAUCUUAAACUUUCUAUUCAUUUUUUUGGUAGAGGUGGGGGGUGUGACUUUUAUUAUAAUUUUUUUGUAGUGUUUUCGUGAACUAAGGGGCUCAUUAAAAUUUUUCCUAUGUAGACUUGUGCUCUCUCUUCCUUAAAUAUUCUUUA